ACGAAGAUACAAUAUAUAUGUACUUAUGAAGUGUCAGGGAAAGAGGUGCGAAUCCUCUACAGACCUACCUACUGUAUGGUGGAUGAAACCAAUAAGACCACAGAUUAUUCUGGAAGGAUUGGGAGUAAGAAGAAGCUAAGUCAGGAUACCGGCUUGAUAAGUCUAAUCAUUC
rnacentral:ncRNA from 33 species